GAAUAUGUAGCUCAGUUGGUUAGAGCACUAGUCUUAUGAGCUAGGGGUCACGGGUUCGAGUCCCGUCAUAUUCACCA
rnacentral:tRNA from 1 species